AGAGUUUGAUCCUGGCUCAGAUUGAACGCUGGCGGCAGGCCUAACACAUGCAAGUCGAACGGUAACAUUUCUAGCUUGCUAGAAGAUGACGAGUGGCGGACGGGUGAGUAAUGCUUGGGAACUUGCCUUUGCGAGGGGGAUAACAGUUGGAAACGACUGCUAAUACCGCAUAAUGUCUACGGACCAAACGGGGCUUAGGCUCCGGCGCAAAGAGAGGCCCAAGUGAGAUUAGCUAGUUGGUAAGGUAAUGGCUUACCAAGGCAACGAUCUCUAGCUGUUCUGAGAGGAAGAUCAGCCACACUGGAACUGAGACACGGUCCAGACUCCUACGGGAGGCAGCAGUGGGGAAUAUUGCACAAUGGGGGAAACCCUGAUGCAGCCAUGCCGCGUGUGUGAAGAAGGCCUUCGGGUUGUAAAGCACUUUCAGUUGUGAGGAAAAGUUAGUAGUUAAUACCUGCUAGCCGUGACGUUAACAACAGAAGAAGCACCGGCUAACUCCGUGCCAGCAGCCGCGGUAAUACGGAGGGUGCGAGCGUUAAUCGGAAUUACUGGGCGUAAAGCGCACGCAGGCGGUUUGUUAAGCUAGAUGUGAAAGCCCCGGGCUCAACCUGGGAUAGUCAUUUAGAACUGGCAGACUAGAGUCUUGGAGAGGGGAGUGGAAUUCCAGGUGUAGCGGUGAAAUGCGUAGAUAUCUGGAGGAACAUCAGUGGCGAAGGCGACUCCCUGGCCAAAGACUGACGCUCAUGUGCGAAAGUGUGGGUAGCGAACAGGAUUAGAUACCCUGGUAGUCCACACCGU
rnacentral:rRNA from 1 species